AAAGUCUGUCUAUUCCAUUGCAUCAUUCUUCUGGAACUUUGAUAAUAGCCAAUUCUACUGCCUUAACAGCAUCAUUGCUUGCAGUUGGCAAGGACCAGAGAGAGAAAACAAGGUCACACUGCUAGUAAGGUGUUGGUUUCAGGAUUCAACUUCAGUAAAUCUAACUCCAAACUGUGCUCUUUUCUGCUAUUCUGUAUAUUUUGCUACUGCUAUUUCAAACAUUGGCCUUCAAGUCUUAAAAGACCACCAGGAAAAUCUGUAACCAGGCAAUGGACUAUUUCAUAUAAUAGAGUUUCUUGCUCAUGUGUUUAAGGAAUGGCUUGGUCAGCUCUGAUAAAAGACUGCCACUGAGUUCAGGUAAUUUCACCUGUACCAAUUUUGGACUUUGGUUGAGGACAGCAGAUACAGGGAACAUUUACUUUUCAUGGAGGAAAUGGAAGUUCCUAGAGAGGGCUAAUUAGAAAGCGGAACAGAGAAGGGGAAAAAGGAGUGUUCCCUGACUUCACUGUGAGAGAUCUGCAAGAAGAGAUUCGACAAGUGAUGCCAUUUAUUCUCAUCUCUCCAAAGACAUGAUCAUUUAGAUGAUUGUAGUGGAUAGCAUAAUACAUCCAGAAGGCAUUAGCAAAGCUCUUUCUUUCCCCUGAUCUUUGAUUUGCUAGAGUCCAUAUUAAGAACUGCACAUUGCAUCUAACUUACCCUAAAAUCUGUGCUGCCACUUGAAAUAUUUCAGAAAGUUUUCUUCUUCUGUUAUGCCAUCCAGCAAAGUUUUACAAAACAGCAUGCUUUCAUUCACAGUGUUUUCCAAAAUAUAUCUUACAAAUGCCAACAACUGAGCACAACCUGAAACAUCUGUGGAUUUGACCAUUUAUGGGGCAAAGUAAUCACUUUCCAUACUCUUUAAAACCAGCUGUUCACAGGCAUUAAUUGCCAUGUCACUUAUACGCCUUAGAACAGCAGCAUUUGACAAUGGUGCACGUGUUAAUUUGUUUACCACAUCUGGUUCUUUUUCAGUGAAUACCGUCUUUGUGGCAGAUGGCAAUAGAAGA